CUGUGGCUUUUGGGGGACAUUUGCAAGAAAUUCGGUACGGGCCUGUGCUCCAAACAUCGCGAUUCAUGUACCCCUAGAUGAAAGGUUUCGAAUGCAGAAGAAAAAGUACCUCUUCGAGGCUGGUACUCGUGUAUCGUACUCGGCCGAAUUUAGCAGAAACAAGUUGGCAAAUUUUGACAUUUUAUUCAAAGGCAUACUCGAUUGUUUCCGUGCUACACGGAUAGUUUAUAGUAGUCUAUAGCCAAAUAGUUUAUGCACGUCAAUUCUUGAUAGAUCUUUCUUCCACUCGCGAAUCUACAAAAGCUGGUGAUUCUACGGACUGACUUCGUGCUCGUGAUCCUUCAUCAACUGGUCGCACUUGGCCAUUCCGGCGGUGGCAGCAAAGCGUCCGAGGGCCGACCUUGUGCGCCGCCUGCGAGCGAGGACAGGACGGCGAUCAACAGCGUCCUCAGGGCCACAAUUAGCAACGCCAAGGAGGCUCCCAGUCCCAAACUCCUCUCCAUCUCCCCCCCAACUCAUGGGCCUCGUGCUACACGGCGGAGAAGGCGCGGAAGUGACGCUGACGGUCGUACUCUGAUUUACACUCUUCAAAUGAAGGAGACGAAGGAUCUGGACGUCGACAUGAGCUGAGCUGAACAGGCAAUAUCCCAUCUUUGCAGCCAUGUUAUAGAUGGGACUUACGAUAAACCUAUGCAAGCCAUGCAGGUGCUGGAGGUUGUUCUGGCGUUUCACGCGCACGUCGCUCCUUCUUCAAGAGGUGUGAUCCUGGAAAAACCAAUUAUCUUGGCGAUGCCUACGAGGCUCUGCUUAGCGUCUUUGGGAAUCGUCCCUUUACCAGCCACCAGCAUGCUUGGACAGAGCCCCGAUCGCCUUUAGAGCCACCGGCCUUUCCGAACUUCCGGCCAGCAGACAAGUCUUUGAGCUGGCUGAGAAAAAGACGAUCGUUGAAGAGUACUUCUUAGCUAAAGGAUGAACUCGCAGCUGAACUCCUCCAUCAUCCAUCGGGCGCUGGAUGGGUUACAACGGAACCCCAAAACAGCGUUCAUCAUAAGUGUGCCGCUGCGAUGGCGGUCGAGGAGGAGGUGCAGGAUGCAGGGUCCAAGGAAUCAGCGCUAAGCGAGGCAACUGAUCAGUCCGAACGGUUGAACGGGAGGACGGAGACAGCGGCUGACCCAAUUAUUAAAGGCAAACGCAGUUGCCUCGGUCGCUGUCGUCGUUUUCCCCGCGGCCUAGAGCUCAUCAGCUCGGACUGAUCACUGCUCUCGCUGGGCCACGAUUCCAUGCACUACACUGCUUCCUUCAUUUCCUCCACGUUCGCCUCUUCAGUGGCACCCUUACGAUGAACGCCAUGUUUUGCGGCUCCGAUUUGACUCAUCCAUGGGCAUAGUUUUAGAUAAUAAAUCUGUCAGAUACAUUAAACUACACACUCGCUUAUGUAUAUGUAAUUUGCAAGC